ACUACUUCAAAACAUUGCUUUGUGGCUGAAGACAAGUGCUAAAAGGGUCAUUUUUUCCUGUCUGAUAACUGAUCUUAAUCUACCCAGAGUAUUGGUUCAGCUGCCAGCUGUGUUUUCAUGUUCUAGCAAACCAAAAUGAGUGCAUGCCAAGUGUAUAGUGACAUUUUACACAGUGCUGCUCUACACUGUUCUCCAGGCUGGAGAAGGGCCUGGUGCAGAGCUUGAGUGCAGCCAGGUUUUACUCAAAGGGGCAGGAGACCCACUGUCUCCAGACUUCUCAGCCCAGAGGAGCCACUGGGUACAACAAAAGCAUAGUAACUCCAGGUUCCACAGUGUCGUGAGAAGGGUAACCCAGGUAUUUCAUGAGCUGCUUGAAAUAUUUGGAGAUUGAAUAGAAUGACUGGAUAAAAACCAAACUACAAGACCAGCUGGUUCACUGAAAGGCUGCUACUUUUACUCAUUCCACUAACGCAGUGGCUGAAAAAAUGACUGAAAAUUGUAGUCAUUUUUCAAAAUGACUGAUUUCACAAGCAACUCAUCUGUCUGGCUGUACCACGAAUAGGAAAUUGCACUGAGACCAUUUCUGCAAAGGAUCUCCAUUAAAGCACGAAGAACAACAGUUUGAUUGUAACUGCUGUAAAACAAAGAGCUUCACUCAGCUCUUGUGUGAAGUUGGAGUGCUGUUGCUCUGGGCGAGCUUUGGAGCAAAGAACAAUUUAAUGUAGAAUCUUAUGGCCAAAUACUGACGGGGAGAUAGAAAGAUGCCUAAAUUUCAUUUACCUGCCACAAAGCUGACUGUAUUAUAUGAUUAACAACAAUAACAACAAAAAUUGUCUGACAUGCUGUGUGCUCUGACAGAACUGAAACCUGCAAGGGAAAGAUGUGUGGAAAAGCAGAGUUUUAUGUUUAGGUUUGUCAGUGGUAAGAAUGACUUUUCCAUAUCAUCUCCUUUAAGGUAAAACUUUGAAGAUCUAAUUUUCUAAGGUCCUCUGUAAGAGUAAGUGUGGCCAUGCUGAUAUCAACAGCUUGGCUUGGAACAGCAAUGUAUUGCUGCACAGAUCUCCUGGUUGCUCCUUUCUUGUACUUGGAUUUGGUUUGCAAUGUAUUAAACUAGGAACAAGGGGAAGCUUUGAUUUAUUGAUCUCUUCCUAUUGCACAGAAUUACUUGCCAAUAUAGAUAAAAUCUGUGAGGCCCUAGAAAGACCCUCCUGCACACACUAGUGUUACACUGGUCUACUCUCCCUAGCCUCACUGGAAAUGAAUGAAACUUCACCUUAAGAGCUUAUUUGCAAAAGGUGUGGGUAACUUUGAGAUACCUUCUGUUUGAAAGCAACUGUAACCUGUUAAGCAUGACAAUAUAUUUGUAAUUU
rnacentral:lncRNA from 7 species